rnacentral:rRNA from 1 species
GACGAACGCUGGCGGCGUGCUUAACACAUGCAAGUCGAACGGAAAGGCCCCUUUGGGGGUACUCGAGUGGCGAACGGGUGAGUAACACGUGAGUAACCUGCCCUUGACUUCGGGAUAACUUCAGGAAACUGGGGCUAAUACCGGAUAGGAAUCCUUGCUGCAUGGUGGGGGUUGGAAAGCUUCGGCGGUUUUGGAUGGACUCGCGGCAUAUCAGCUUGUUGGUGGGGUAGUGGCUUACCAAGGCUUUUACGGGUAGCCGGCCUGAGAGGGCGACCGGCCACAUUGGGACUGAGAGACGGCACAGACUCCUACGGGAGGCAGCAGUGGGGAAUAUUGCACAAUGGGCGGAAGCCUGAUGCAGCAACGCCGCGGGCGGGAUGACGGCCUUCGGGUUGUAAACCGCUUUCAGCAGGGGCGAAGCUUGUGGUGACGGUACCUGCAGAAGAAGCACCGGCUAACUACGUG